rnacentral:rRNA from 1 species
GAUGAACGCUGGCGGCGUGCCUAAUACAUGCAAGUCGAGCGAACAGAUGAGGAGCUUGCUCCUCUGACGUUAGCGGCGGACGGGUGAGUAACACGUGGAUAACCUACCUAUAAGACUGGGAUAACUUCGGGAAACCGGAGCUAAUACCGGAUAAUAUAUUGAACCGCAUGGUUCAAUAGUGAAAGACGGUUUUGCUGUCACUUAUAGAUGGAUCCGCGCCGCAUUAGCUAGUUGGUAAGGUAACGGCUUACCAAGGCAACGAUGCGUAGCCGACCUGAGAGGGUGAUCGGCCACACUGGAACUGAGACACGGUCCAGACUCCUACGGAAGGCAGCAGUAGGGAAUCUUCCGCAAUGGGCGAAAGCUUGACGGAGCAACGCCGCGUGAGUGAUGAAGGUCUUCGGAUCGUAAAACUCUGUUAUUAGGGAAGAACAAAUGUGUAAGUAACUAUGCACGUCUUGACGGUACCUAAUCAGAAAGCCACGGCUAACUACGUG